ensembl:snoRNA U3 Small nucleolar RNA U3
GAGUGGUACUUUCAGGGAUCAUUUCUAGACUAUCUAGCUAGAAAAUGUGAUUUGAAAGCGUUAUGUCUCUCUAAUCACAAUGAUAAUGAUUCUACUGAGCGUGAAUCGGAUUUUGGCUAAUGAUUCUUUAAUGGCUCUGUUUCUUAUGAAGCGCUAGAGGAAGAGGACAUGAUGGUAGUUCAGUGGU